rnacentral:lncRNA from 1 species
GUGUAAUGUACAUACAACUGCUGCUUUGAUGGUUGUGCUGUACCUCUGGCCAUAGUCAUCACUUCUCUUCCUUUGUCCAGCCACAAGAGUUUCAUUCCAUGGACUAGUUUGAGUACGUACUUGUUUUCUUCCCGAGGAAGAACUGGUCAAAAAUCCUCUCCCUCUCUGCCAAAAGAAAAAGAAAAAAAAAAACAAAACCAAAAGAUUGCCUUUGAAAACAUAUACUAAUUUUCUAAUUUGAAGAAUUAAUACCCAGUAACAAGUGCAAUAC